rnacentral:rRNA from 1 species
UAAAUUUUACGAAGUUAAGUUAAUAAGGGCGUACAGUGAAUGCCUUGGCACUAGAAGACGAUGAAGGACGUGAUUACCUGCGAAAAGCGACGGGGAGCUGGAAGUGAGCUUUGAUCCGUUGAUAUCCGAAUGGGGAAACCCAAUGCAAGUUAUGUUGCAUUAUCCUCCCGAUAACCAAUACAGGGAGUGAAGAUACACCUAGGGAAUUGAAACAUCUUAGUACCUAGAGGAAAAGAAAGAGAAAUCGAUUCCGUCAGUAGCGGCGAGCGAAAGCGGAACAGCCCAAACCAAUCUUAGGAUUGGGGUUACGGACCACAACAUGGGAUUAACAAGUGAUAGCUGAACAGUCUGGGAAGGCUGGCGAAACAGGGUGAUAGCCCCGUAAGCGAAAUUAUGAGUUACCUUAGUGGAUUCCAGAGUACAGCGGAGCACGAGGAAUUCUGCUGGAAGUUACCGAGACCACUCGGAAAGGCUAAAUACUAACUAGUGACCGAUAGUGAACCAGUACCGUGAGGGAAAGGUGAAAAGAACCCCGGGAGGGGAGU